AUGCACAGGAACAAUCUCAGAAUCCGUGGAAGACUGGGAAGCUGAUUUCACUUUUUGCUAGUGUAGUGUCCUGGUUCACAACUUGGCUGUUAAACUGUGGGUAUUUCAUUUAGCAGCUCAGUAAGAUCGGUCUGUCCUGCUCUCGGCCUGUUUGGGUUACUGUUGAAGAUGAGGGAUGACGUGGAAUGUGUGCCAUCCACUUAGCGGGAGGUUUUCUUGCUGAGGGACAAUAAGGAGGAACAACUAAGGAAGAAGUUUGUUUUCUCAGUAAGGCCAAGGGAUCUAAGUUUGGGACAUUAUGGUUAAAAAAAGAUCACAGGCGCUGUUAAAUGCUUUGGGAUCUGCUUGUUUCCACCUUGAAAGCACGUAUCACCGGACUGACAGACAGCUUCUCACUGCCUUGAUGCCUGAACCAGUCAUCUCCUCCCAGUGGGCCUGCCACGUUCUCUUGGACUGCGGGAAGGAACGGGAGCACCCGGAGGAAACCCAC